AUCGAACGCUGGCGGCAGGCCUACCACACGCAAGUCGUACCAGUGGCGGACGGGUGAGUACUGUCCGGGAAACUGCCUGAUGGCGGGGGAUAACUACUGGAAACGGUAGCUAAUACCGCAUACCAUCAGAUGUGCCCAGCUGGGAUUAGCUUGGUGGUGGGGUAACGGCGCACCAAGGCGACGAUCCCUAGCUGGGCUGAGAGGAUGACCAGCCACACUGGAACUGAGACACGGGCCAGACUCCUACGGGAGGCAGCAGUGGGGAAUAUUGCACAAUGGGCGCAAGCCUGAUGCAGCCAUGCCGCGUGUAUGAAGAAGGCCUUCGGGUUGUAAAGUACUUUCAGCGGGGAGGCGUUACCCGCAGAAGAAGCACCGGCUAACUACGUGCCAGCAGCCGCGGUAAUAC
rnacentral:rRNA from 1 species